AUUUGCCAUACAGCAAGAAAAAAAGAAAAGAAGAAAUGUUGAAGAGUUGCACCAAAAAGUUAGGGAAAAGUUAAGAAUAACGAAAGAGCAAUGUAGGACAGAAGCUGAUGUGACAAAACAAAUUAAACUGGCUCUCGAAUCAACGGAGGUGGAAUUGAAGACAGGAGGAAAUAAAUAAAAUAAAAUUUCUGAAACUGAUGAAAAAGAAGAAGACCUGCUGCAUGAAAACAGCUUGAUGCAAGAUGAAAUUGCCAGGCUCAGGCUGGAAAAAGACACAAUAAAAAACCAAAACCUGGAAAAGAAAUACUUAAAAGACUUUGAAAUUGUGAAAAGAAAGCGUGAAGACCUUCAAAAGACUCUAAAACGGAAUGAAGAAACAUUAGCAAAAACGAUAGCCUGUUAUAGUGGACAGCUUGCUGCUCUGACGGAUGAAAACACAACGCUCCAUUCCAAACUGGAGAAGCAAAGAGAGAGCAGGCAAAGACUGGAAACAGAAAUGCAAUCAUACCGUUGUAGACUGAAUGCUGCUCUAUGUGAUCAUGAUCAAAGUCACUCAUCAGAAAGAGACCAAGAGCUUGCGUUCCAGGGCACAGUAGAUAAAUGGUGUCAUUUACAGGAAAAUUUGAAUUCUUGUGUUCUGAUUCUCUCUCUGCAACUUUCUAAAGCUGAGAGUAAGUCCAGAGUCCUCGAAACUGAGCUGCAUUAUACAAGAGAGGCUCUGAAAGAAAAGGCUUUGGUUUUUGAAUACGUGCAAAGUGAGCUAAAGCAAAAACAGAGUCGAAUGAAGGACAUUGAAAAAAUGUACAAAAGUGGAUACAAUAGAAUGGAAAAAUGCAUAGAAAAGCAGGAAAGAUUUUGUCAACUAAAAAAACAAAAUAUGUUGCUUCAACAGCAACUGGAUGAUGCUCGCAACAAAGCUGACAAUCAAGAAAAAGCAAUACUUAAUAUUCAAGCCAGAUGUGAUGCUAGAGUACAAAACCUUCAAGCUGAGUGCAGAAAGCGCUGUCUUUUACUAGAAGAAGACAGUAAAAUGUUGGUCAAUGAAUUGAAUCAUUGGAAAGGAAAAGAACGCCAGUAUGAAAAAGAGAAAGCAGAAAGAGAAGUAGCUGUGAGACAGCUUCAACGAAAACGAGAUGAUGUCUUAAACAAACAAUCAGCAACAAAAGCUUUGCUGGAUGCUUCAUCGCGUCACUGCAUCUAUUUAGAAAAUGAGAUGCAGGAUUCAAGGAAGAAAUUAGACCAAAUGAGAAGUCAAGUAUGUAUGAAACUUUGCAUGCCAACAGCUGUUAAUCUGUAGCUAGUUAACUAAUAUAAAGUGCUUUGGGGUACUAAUUUUAGUGGAUGGCUUUCUUUUGUAUUUUCCUUAUUAUUAAUUUUAUUAAAAUUUUAUUAUAACACACCUAUAUCUUAAUCUCUGGCUUUCAUUCUGCCAUUUUUUAUACAUAUAUUUUUUUCUUAAAUAUUUAACCUUAGGAAAGUUGAGAAUUAUGCAUCAAUUCUCACAGAAGUUGAGAGAGUUUUUUUUUCCUGUUAAACAGUCUAUUUUUAAUGAUUUCUCUGUUGGCAUGGUGAGGCAAGCCAGAUUAAUUCAGAGGAUAAUGUCUAAUGGAAUGUUUCAGAAAAUUAUCUUAUUUUUAGUCUCUACUUUUCUGAAUGUAUAAAGAACCUGUGUAUACUUAUUUCAUAGAUUUCAGGUUAACUUGUUCAGAAAGGCCAUUUUACUGAAUAAAUUUUUAUUUCGAUGAAAAUCCUUACUCUCUGUAUUGGGCUCAGAGAGCACAUUCUGUCUCUAUAUGAAUAUGGAGAGUUAGCAUUUGCCAACAUGUAUCUAUUUUCUCUUAUUUAUAGAAAAAGCUAAACUAAAAAGGUGGUUAUAGAAGGUCAGCAAAGGAUGGGUUUGAGAUGUUUGGGUUGGUUAAGUGGGCAUUUAGACAACAAGAUUUCUCCUUUGGCAUGUUUAAUGGACAUCUUUGCAGUUUAAGAUGACGCUUUUAAAUUACUUCUCUCCUAAUGAUGACUUGAGUCUUGCUAUUCAGUGAGAGGGUCAAUAAGAUCCUGUAGGAUCUUAUUUGGAACUGACUUUGUGGAUUUUAAUUUUGUUCCUGCUUGUUUUUAAAUUUUCUUGUUGUUUCCCUAGAAAGGAAAGAUGACACUUAGUUUUAAAUAUUUAAAAAUGUGCAAGUUGCUUUGCUAUAAUAAAACUAAAUGCAUACAUACAAAAAAUAAAAUUAUAGUUGAUGUGGUAGUGUUUGGAAUUCAAAAUAUAAAUGCUUAGCAUGAGGUAAUCCUUUAUCUUUCCACAUUUUACCAGUUUGUAAGUUUGAAUAUUUAACUGAUAAAAUGUAAUUCAAAAGCAAGAAGAAUGUUGUGUUUUAGUCUUAGAGCAGGGGUCUGUGAACUUUUCUGUAAAGGGCCAGAUAGUAUUAUUUAAGGCUUUGUGAGCCAUAAGAUCAUUGUUGCAAUAACUCAGCCCUGCAGUUAUAGCACAAAAGUAGCCAUGAACAAUAUGCAGAUUGAAGGGGUGUAGCAGUGUCCCACUAAAAUUAAUUACAGAAAACAGGUAAUGGGAUGAUUUCUCCUAGAUUCUGACCUUUUUUAAAUAAAAAAGAUUGUGAUAGUCU
rnacentral:sRNA from 1 species